rnacentral:rRNA from 1 species
GAUGAACGCUAGCUACAGGCUUAACACAUGCAAGUCGCGGGGCAGCAUGGGGGUUGCCUGCAAUCCCCGAUGGCGACCGGCGCACGGGUGAGUAACGCGUAUCCAACCUGCCCUUCACCACGGGAUAACCCGGCGAAAGUCGGACUAAUACCGUACGUUGUCCAUUGACGGCAUCCGAUUUGGACGAAAGGUUUGGCGGUGAAGGAUGGGGAUGCGUCCGAUUAGCUGGACGGCGGGGUGACGGCCCACCGUGGCGACGAUCGGUAGGGGUUCUGAGAGGAAGGUCCCCCACACUGGAACUGGGACACGGUCCAGACUCCUACGGGAGGCAGCAGUGAGGAAUAUUGGUCAAUGGGCGUAAGCCUGAACCAGCCAAGUAGCGUGCAGGAUGACGGCCCUAUGGGUUGUAAACUGCUUUUAUGCGGGGAUAAAGUGGCCCACGUGUGGGUUUUUGCAGGUACCGCAUGAAUAAGGACCGGCUAAUUCCGUG